GAUGAAGAACGUAGCGAAAUGCGAUAAGUAGUGUGAAUUGCAGAAUUCAGUGAAUCAUCGAAUCUUUGAACGCACCUUGCGCCCUUUGGCUAUUCUGAAGGGCAUGCCUGUUUGAGUAUCGUGAACACCUCAACUCUCAUGGUCUGCCAUGAUGAGCUUGGACUUUGGGGGUCUUGCUGGCCUACUGUCAGCUCCUCUCAAAUGAAUCAGCUUACCAGUGUUUGGUGGCACCACAGGUGUGAUAACUAUCUACGCUUGUGGUUUUCUGCCAGGUAACCUCCAGUGAUGGAGGUUCGCUGGAGCUCACAAAUGUCUCUCCUCAGCGAGGACAGCUUUUUGAACGUUUGAUCUCAAAUCAGGUAGGACUACCCGCUGAACUUAAGCAUAUCAAUAAGCGGAGGA
rnacentral:misc_RNA from 1 species